rnacentral:rRNA from 1 species
GACGAACGCUGGCGGCGUGCUUAACACAUGCAAGUCGAACGCUGAAGCUCAGCUUUUGUUGGGUGGAUGAGUGGCGAACGGGUGAGUAACACGUGAGUAACCUGCCCCCUUCUUUGGGAUAACGCCCGGAAACGGGUGCUAAUACUGGAUAUUCACUGGUCUUCGCAUGGGGGUUGGUGGAAAGGGUUUUUCUGGUGGGGGAUGGGCUCGCGGCCUAUCAGCUUGUUGGUGGGGUGAUGGCCCACCAAGGCUUUGACGGGUAGCCGGCCUGAGAGGGUGACCGGUCACAUUGGGACUGAGAUACGGCCCAGACUCCUACGGGAGGCAGCAGUGGGGAAUAUGGCACAAUGGGCGCAAGCCUGAUGCAGCGACGCCGCGUGAGGGAUGGAGGCCUUCGGGUUGUGAACCUCUUUCGCUCAUGGUCAAGCCGCAACAAUGGUUGUGGUGAGGGUAGUGGGUAAAGAAGCGCCGGCUAACUACGUG